AACGAACGCUGGCGGCAGGCUUAACACAUGCAAGUCGAGCGCCCCGCAAGGGGAGCGGCAGACGGGUGAGUAACGCGUGGGAAUCUACCCAUCUCUACGGAAUAACCCAUGGAAACGUGUGCUAAUACCGUAUAAGUCCUUCGGGAGAAAGAUUUAUUGGAGAUGGAUGAGCCCGCGUUGGAGUAGCUAGUUGGUGGGGUAAAGGCCUACCAAGGCGACGAUCCAUAGCUGGUCUGAGAGGAUGAUCAGCCACACUGGGACUGAGACACGGCCCAGACUCCUACGGGAGGCAGCAGUGGGGAAUAUUGGACAAUGGGCGCAAGCCUGAUCCAGCCAUGCCGCGUGAGUGAUGAAGGCCCUAGGGUUGUAAAGCUCUUUCACCGGUGAAGAUAAUGACGGUAACCGGAGAAGAAGCCCCGGCUAACUUCGUGCCAGCCGCCGCGGUAAUAC
rnacentral:rRNA from 1 species